rnacentral:rRNA from 1 species
AUUGAACGCUGGCGGCAUGCCUUACACAUGUAAGUCGAACGGCAGCACGGGUGCUUGCACCUGGUGGCGAGUGGCGAACGGGUGAGUAAUACAUCGGAACAUGUCCUGUAGUGGGGGAUAGCCCGGCGAAAGCCGGAUUAAUACCGCAUACGAUCUACGGAUGAAAGCGGGGGACCUUCGGGCCUCGCGCUAUAGGGUUGGCCGAUGGCUGAUUAGCUAGUUGGUGGGGUAAAGGCCUACCAAGGCGACGAUCAGUAGCUGGUCUGAGAGGACGACCAGCCACACUGGGACUGAGACACGGCCCAGACUCCUACGGGAGGCAGCAGUGGGGAAUUUUGGACAAUGGGCGAAAGCCUGAUCCAGCAAUGCCGCGUGUGUGAAGAAGGCCUUCGGGUUGUAAAGCACUUUUGUCCGGAAAGAAAUCCUUGGCCCUAAUACGGUCGGGGGAUGACGGUACCGGAAGAAUAAGCACCGGCUAACUACGUG